rnacentral:rRNA from 1 species
ACGGGUGAGUAAUGUAUCGGAACAUGUCCGGAAGUGGGGGAUAACGUAGCGAAAGUUACGCUAAUACCGCAUAUGCCCUGAGGGGGAAAGGUGGGGAUCGUAAGACCUAUCGCUUUCGGAGUGGCCGAUAUCAGAUUAGCUAGUUGGUGGGGUAAAGGCCUACCAAGGCGACGAUCUGUAGCUGGUCUGAGAGGACGACCAGCCACACUGGGACUGAGACACGGCCCAGACUCCUACGGGGGGCAGCAGUGGGGAAUUUUGGACAAUGGGGGCAACCCUGAUCCAGCCAUGCCGCGUGAGUGAAGAAGGCCUUCGGGUUGUAAAGCUCUUUCGGACGGAAAGAAAUCGCCAUUUCUAAUACAAGUGGUGGAUGACGGUACCGUCAUAAGAAGCACCGGCUAACUACGUGCCAGCAGCCGCGGUAAUACGUAGGGUGCGAGCGUUAAUCGGAAUUACUGGGCGUAAAGCGUGCGCAGGCGGUUUUGUAAGACAGGUGUGAAAUCCCCGGGCUUAACCUGGGAACUGCAUUUGUGACUGCAAGGCUAGAGUGUGGCAGAGGGGGGUAGAAUUCCACGUGUAGCAGUG